rnacentral:rRNA from 1 species
UACGUAGGGUGCGAGCGUUAAUCGGAAUUACUGGGCGUAAAGCGUGCGCAGGCGGUUUUGUAAGCCAGAUGUGAAAUCCCCGGGCUUAACCUGGGAAUGGCAUUUGGGACUGCAAGGCUUGAGUUUGGCAGAGGAGACUGGAAUUCCUGGUGUAGCGGUGGAAUGCGCAGAUAUCAGGAGGAACACCGGUAGCGAAGGCGGGUCUCUGGGCCGUAACUGACGCUGGAGGAGCGAAAGCGUGGGGAGCGAACAGG